rnacentral:lncRNA from 1 species
AACUUGGUCAAAAAAUUAACCACAUAUUGAUAGCUUAGAAAAUAAAUUAACUAUGUGGCAUACAUAUUAAAAAACUUACCUUGUAAGUUAAGAUACGUAUCUUAUAAAGUCAACAUCAUUUGAAGGUCCUAUAGAACAUUGUCACAUAACUUCUAGUUAAAAGUAUAUAUGGAGGUGUGAUUGUCGUUUUACUUACUCUAAACUAAUCUAAUCAAAAUAAACCUAUAUAAGAAAAUUUGAAUAUGGAGAAAUACUAUCCAUAUGAGUUUUCAUGUUAGGAUCUCAUAUUUAACUGUCUCCUAGUCAAUUAAAACAUCCAAGAAUUCUAUACAUCUUC